rnacentral:rRNA from 1 species
AUGGUUAUAAUAGGAGGAGAUGCGGAUGGCAAUGAAGGAGAUCGUUCUGGAAGUCAGUCGCUUCACCGGAACUCGAAGCGUCCUGCUAAUCGCCAGCAACGACCUGCGCAGAGUGUUGAGCAGGGAGAGGAUGUUGAGGAUGCUGAUCAGUUCUGUGUUGUAAAGCGGACUAGACGUGUAACACUUGGCAAGGGAGCUGAGUCAUCUUCUAGGGCAGCAGUUGCUGGAGAAUCUGUCGCAUCUUCCGCAGCAGAUGCUGAGGUAUCGGUGAAGGAGUUGAGGUGGCUCCAGGGGAAGAUGUGGAGCGACCAUCACAAGCAGGCAGGAUAA